CUUGACCGAGCCCAUCAGCAGCGGAUGACCCUGCUCGCCGCGGUCCCGGCCGUAGGUCGCGUGCACCGCCCCGGCCUC
rnacentral:antisense_RNA from 1 species